rnacentral:lncRNA from 1 species
CCAGGCUUAAGUGACAAGGGAAGAGUUGGAGCCUUCUGAUGGGACCCAGACAGUGGGACUGACACAGAGGAACGAAGACACCUGGGUAGGCCAAGCAGCAGAUUGGAAUCCAGCAGAAAUGAAAGAAAAGACAGUCAUUUGAGGCCAAUGGUCAGGGAUUCUGCAACUUUCUUCAGUAAAGAAAACACUCUUCUGGGGCCAGAAUAUUGUAGCAGCCUCCUGUAGAGUCUGCCCGCUGCUCGGAACCAGCUCUCACACACCUGGCUGGACAGCCCUGUCCCGGGGAACCUUUUCACGGGGUAGGUCUUAUAAAUAACAGCAAGAGUGGUACAAGAGGGCUGCUCGUGGUGAAAAGUUUUUCUCUCUCCAGCAUUUUGUUAUGGUUUGUGUUUUUA